UCGAGAAUUUUUCACAAUGGGCGCAAGCCUGAUGGGGCGACGCCGCGUGGGGGAUGAAUGGCUUCGGCCCGUAAACCCCUGUCAUUUGCGAUCAACCGUUAUUAUUUAAAAGAUGAUAACCUGAUAGUAGCGAAAGAGGAAGGGACGGCUAACUCUGGGCCAGCAGCCGCGGUAAUACAGAGGUCCCAAGCGUUGUUCGGAUUUACUGGGCGUAAAGGGUGCGUAGGUGGCGGUGUAAGUCGGAUGUGAAAUCUCCGAGCUCAACUCGGAAACUGCAUUGGAAAAUACAUUGCUCGAGGGUUGGAGAGGGGACUGGAAUACUUGGUGUAGCAGUGAAAUGCGUAGAUAUCAAGUGGAACACCAGUGGCGAAGGCGAGUCCCUGGACAACUCCUGACACUGAGGCACGAAAGCUAGGGGAGCAAACAG
rnacentral:rRNA from 1 species